UACGAAGGGUGCAAGCGUUACUCGGAAUUACUGGGCGUAAAGCGUGCGUAGGCGGUUCGUUAAGUCCGUUGUGAAAUCCCUCGGCUUAACCGGGGAACUGCGUCUGAUACUGGAUGGCUUGAGUUUGGGAGAGGGAUGCGGAAUUCCAGGUGUAGCGGUGAAAUGCGUAGAUAUCUGGAGGAACACCGGUGGCGAAGGCGGCAUCCUGGACCAACACUGACACUGAGGAGCGAAAGCCAGGGGAGCAAACGGG
rnacentral:rRNA from 1 species